UGGGGAAUUGUUCGCAAUGGGCGCAAGCCUGACGACGCAACGCCGCGUGGGGGAUGAAGGUCUUCGGAUUGUAAACCCCUGUCGAGCGGGACGAAUGGCCCGCGACCUAAUACGUCGUGGGAGUGACGGUACCGCUAAAGGAAGCCACGGCUAACUCUGUGCCAGCAGCCGCGGUAAUACAGAGGUGGCAAGCGUUGUUCGGAAUUACUGGGCGUAAAGGGCGCGUAGGCGGCCUUCUAAGUCAGACGUGAAAUCCCCCGGCUCAACCUGGGAACUGCGUCUGAUACUGGGAGGCUUGAGUGCGGGAGAGGGAUGCGGAAUUCCAGGUGUAGCGGUGAAAUGCGUAGAUAUCUGGAGGAACACCGGUGGCGAAGGCGGCAUCCUGGACCGACACUGACGCUGAGGCGCGAAAGCUAGGGUAGCAAACGGGAUUAGAUACCCCGGUAGUCCUAGCCCUAAACGAUGAGUGCUUGGUGUGGCGGGUAUCGAUCCCUGCCGUGCCGAAG
rnacentral:rRNA from 1 species